AUCCAGGUGACGAGCUCCAAAUAGGACGAAACAAGCGUCCUGGAU
rfam:Schistosoma mansoni strain Puerto Rico chromosome 2, complete genome